GAUGAACGCUAGCUACAGGCUUAACACAUGCAAGUCGCGGGGCAGCAUGGGGGUUGCUUGCAAUCCCCGAUGGCGACCGGCGCACGGGUGAGUAACGCGUAUCCAACCUGCCCUUCACCACGGGAUAACCCGGCGAAAGUCGGACUAAUACCGUAUGUUGUCCAUUGACGGCAUCCGAUUUGGACGAAAGGGUUGGCGGUGGAGGAUGGGGAUGCGUCCGAUUAGCUGGACGGCGGGGUGACGGCCCACCGUGGCGACGAUCGGUAGGGGUUCUGAGAGGAAGGUCCCCCACACUGGAACUGAGACACGGUCCAGACUCCUACGGGAGGCAGCAGUGAGGAAUAUUGGUCAAUGGGCGUAAGCCUGAACCAGCCAAGUAGCGUGCAGGAUGACGGCCCUAUGGGUUGUAAACUGCUUUUAUGCGGGGAUAAAGUGGCCCACGUGUGGGUUUUUGCAGGUACCGCAUGAAUAAGGACCGGCUAAUUCCGUG
rnacentral:rRNA from 1 species